rnacentral:rRNA from 1 species
GAUGAACGCUGGCGGCGUGCCUAAUACAUGCCAGUCGAGCGAACAGACGAGGAGCUUGCUCCUCUGACGUUAGCGGCGGACGGGUGAGUAACACGUGGAUAACCUACCUAUAAGACUGGGAUAACUUCGGGAAACCGGAGCUAAUACCGGAUAAUAUAUUGAACCGCAUGGUUCAAUAGUGAAAGACGGUUUUGCUGUCACUUAUAGAUGGAUCCGCGCCGCAUUAGCUAGUUGGUAAGGUAACGGCUUACCAAGGCAACGAUGCGUAGCCGACCUGAGAGGGUGAUCGGCCACACUGGAACUGAGACACGGUCCAGACUCCUACGGGAGGCAGCAGUAGGGAAUCUUCCGCAAUGGGCGAACGCCUGACGGAGCAACGCCGCGUGAGUGAUGAAGGUCUUCGGAUCGUAAAACUCUGUUAUUAGGGAAGAACAAAUGUGUAAGUAACUAUGCACGUCUUGACGGUACCUAAUCAGAAAGCCACGGCUAACUACGUG